rnacentral:rRNA from 1 species
CGUGCUAAUACAUGCAAGUAGAACGCUGAAGAGAGGAGCUUGCUCUUCUUGGAUGAGUUGCGAACGGGUGAGUAACGCGUAGGUAACCUGCCUUGUAGCGGGGGAUAACUAUUGGAAACGAUAGCUAAUACCGCAUAACAAUGGGUGACACAUGUCAUUUAUUUGAAAGGGGCAAUUGCUCCACUACAAGAUGGACCUGCGUUGUAUUAGCUAGUAGGUGAGGUAACGGCUCACCUAGGCGACGAUACAUAGCCGACCUGAGAGGGUGAUCGGCCACACUGGGACUGAGACACGGCCCAGACUCCUACGGGAGGCAGCAGUAGGGAAUCUUCGGCAAUGGGGGCAACCCUGACCGAGCAACGCCGCGUGAGUGAAGAAGGUUUUCGGAUCGUAAAGCUCUGUUGUAAGUCAAGAACGAGUGUGAGAGUGGAAAGUUCACACAGUGACGGUACUUAACCAGAAAGGGACGGCUAACUACGUGCCAGCAGCCGCGGUAAUACGUAGGUCCCGAGCGUUGUCCGGAUUUAUUGGGCGUAAAGCGAGCGCAGGCGGUUAGAUAAGUCUGAAGUGAAAGGCAGUGGCUCAACCAUUGUAGGCUUUGGAAACUGUUUAACUUGAGUGCAGAAGGGGAGAGUGGAAUUCCAUGUGUAGCGGUGAAAUGCGUAGAUAUAUGGAGGAACACCGGUGGCGAAAGCGGCUCUCUGGUCUGUAACUGACGCUGAGGCUCGAAAGCGUGGGGAGCGAACAGGAUUAGAUACCCUGGUAGUCCACGCCGUAAACGAUGAGUGCUAGGUGUUAGGUCCUUUCCGGGACUUAGUGCCGCAGCUAACGCAUUAAGCACUCC